AACGAACGCUGGCGGCGUGGAUAAGACAUGCAAGUCGAACGGGAACUUCAGCUGUAGCAAUACAGUUGAAGUUUUAGUGGCGAACGGGUGCGUAACACGUGGGCAAUCUGCCGAGAAGUGGGGGAUAGCUCGCCGAAAGGCGAAUUAAUACCGCAUAUGAUCAGCUAAGACAUCUUAGCGACAUCAAAGCCGGGGCAACCUGGCGCUUUUUGAGGAGCCCGCGGCCUAUCAGCUAGUUGGUGAGGUAACGGCUCACCAAGGCUAUGACGGGUAGCUGGUCUGAGAGGACGACCAGUCACACUGGAACUGAGACACGGUCCAGACACCUACGGGUGGCAGCAGUCGAGUAAUUUUUCUCAAUGGGGCAACCCUGAAGGAGCGACGCCGCGUGGAGGAU
rnacentral:rRNA from 1 species